rnacentral:rRNA from 1 species
CCUACGGGAGGCAGCAGUAGGGAAUCUUCCACAAUGGGCGAAAGCCUGAUGGAGCAACGCCGCGUGGGUGAAGAAGGUCUUCGGAUCGUAAAACCCUGUUGUUAGAGAAGAAAGUGCGUGAGAGUAACUGUUCACGUUUCGACGGUAUCUAACCAGAAAGCCACGGCUAACUACGUGCCAGCAGCCGCGGGAAUACGUAGGUGGCAAGCGUUAUCCGGAUUUAUUGGGCGUAAAGGGAACGCAGGCGGUCUUUUAAGUCUGAUGUGAAAGCCUUCGGCUUAACCGGAGUAGUGCAUUGGAAACUGGGAGACGUGAGUGCAGAAGAGGAGAGUGGAACUCGAUGUGUAGCGGUGAAAUGCGUAGAUAUAUGGAAGAACACCAGUGGCGAAAGCGGCUCUCUGGUCUGUAACUGACGCUGAGGUUCGAGAGCGUGGGUAGCAAACAGGAUUAGAUACCCUUGUAGUC